GACGUAGGGCGCGAGCGUUGUCCGGAUUUAUUGGGCGUAAAGAGCUCGUAGGCGGCUUGUCGCGUCGUCCGUGAAAACCUGCGGCUCAACUGCAGGCUGCAGUCGAUACGGGGCAGGCUGGAGUUCGGUAGGGGAGACUGGAAUUCCUGGUGUAGCGGUGAAAAUGCGCAGAUAUCAGGAGGAAACACCGGUGGCGAAAGGCGGGGUCUCUGGGGCC
rnacentral:rRNA from 1 species